rnacentral:rRNA from 1 species
AGAGGGAGCCUGAGAGACGGCUACCAGGUCCAAGGACGGCAGCAGGCGCGAAAAUUACCGAAGCUCAAAAAGAGGCGGUAGUAAUGAGACGUAAAAAAUUAAUACAAGGGUAAAAAACUUGUUAAUAACUGGAGGUAAAGUCUGGUGCCAGCAUCCGCGGUAAUACCAGCUCCAGGGGUGUCUAUGAUGAUUGCUGCGAUUAAAAGGUCCGUAGUCGAAAAUAGAUAAUUGUUUGUAAGAUGUUAUCUAAAAUAAUAGAAAGAACAAUUACCUAAUUGAAAGGAAUAGCAAGAGGCUGAUUAAUCGAGUAACGAGAGGUGAAAUUUGAUGACUUACUUGGGAGAAACAGAGGCGAAAGCGUCAGUCAAGUGUAAAUCCGAUGAUCAAGGACGUAGGCUGGAGUAUCGAACACGAUUAGAUACCGUAGUAGUUCCAGCAGUAAACUAUGCCUACGCCGUUGAAUGAAAGUUUGGCGGACGAGAAAUUUAGAGUAGGGCUUUGGGGAGAGUACACGCGCAAGCGAUAAAUUUAAAGGAAAUU